rfam:Ferret coronavirus isolate FRCoV-NL-2010, complete genome.
ACUUUUAAAGAUAAGUGAGUGUAGCGUAGCUGCCUACUUUCUUUAACUUGACUCUAAGUCAAAUCUACUCAACUAAACGAAAUUUUGUUGUUUCCCAUUUAAUGGGAGCAACAUCUUUGGUAAUUUCGUUUCAUUCAUAGCUUGUUGUCCAUAUUGAGUCUAGGAGUUUGGCUAGCUGUGUGGGUUCCGUCUCACAUAGUAGGUGUGUUGGCUAGUUCCGUCUAGUCUUCACGUGGAUCUCAGUUCCGUCUGGGUGAAACCUAACCCCCCUCACUAUGGUGUUCAAGCAUUUUAGGAUCCUCG